rnacentral:rRNA from 1 species
GACGAACGCUGGCGGCGUGCCUAAUACAUGCCAGUCGAGCGAACGGACGCGAAGUUUGUUUCUUUGUUGUUUGCGGCGCACGGGUGAGUAACAUGUGGAUAACCCACCUAUCUGUCUGGGAUAACUUCGGGAAACCGGCGCUAAUACCGGAUAAUAUUUUGCACCGUAUGGUUCAAAAGUGAAAUACGGUCUUUCUGUCACUUCUAGAUGGUUCCGCGCUGCAUUAGCUAGUUGGUAAGGUAACGGCUUAUCACGGCGGCGAUGCCUAGCCGACCUGAGUGGGUGAUCGGCCACACUGGAGCUGAGACGGGGUCAAGACUACUACGGGAGGCAGCAGUAGGGAAUCUUCCGCAAUAGGCGGAAGCAUGACGGAGCAGCGGCGCGUGAGUGAUGGAAGUCUUCGGAUCGUAAUGCUCUGUUAUUAGGGAAAAACAGAUGUGUAAGUAACUGUGCACAUCGUGACGGUACCUAAUCAGAAAGCCACGGCUAACUACGUG